rnacentral:rRNA from 1 species
AUUAAUACCCCAUAGUAUCAUUGAGCUGCAUGGUUUAAUGAUUAAAGAUUCAUCGGUAUAGGAUGGGCANGCGUCUGAUUAGCUAGUUGGCGGUGUAACGGACCACCAAGGCUACGAUCAGUAGGGGUUCUGAGAGGAAGGUCCCCCACACUGGCACUGAGAUACGGGCCAGACUCCUACGGGAGGCAGCAGUAGGGAAUAUUGGGCAAUGGACGAGAGUCUGACCCAGCCAUGCCGCGUGCAGGAAGACGGCGUUCUGCGUUGUAAACUGCUUUUAUCUGGGAAGAAAAUGCCNUUGNGAGGGAAAUUGCCGGUACCAGAUGAAUAAGCACCGGCUAACUCCGUGCCAGCAGCCGCGGUAAUACGGAGGGUGCAAGCGUUGUCCGGAUUUAUUGGGUUUAAAGGGUGCGUAGGCGGCUAUUUAAGUCAGUGGUGAAAGACUCCGGCUCAACCGGAGCAGUGCCAUUGAUACUGGAUAGCUUGAGUAUUGGAGGGGUACAUGGAAUUGAUGGUGUAGCGGUGAAAUGCAUAGAUACCAUCANGAACACCGAUAGCGNANGCAUUGUACUGGCCAAUAACUGACGCUGAUGCACGANAGCAUGNGUAGCGAACAGGAUUAGAUACCCUGNUAGUCNAUGCNGUANACNAUGAUUACUCGCUG